GCCCAAGAGCUCCUGUACUCCUAGCCUCUACUACACUAUCAGGAGGAUUGCAGCUAGUGUUGUGGGUUUUGUUAUUUGGGGAUUUCUGUUCCCAAAUAAAAGACACAAACUCUUUAUAUUUAAGAUAAGCCUUAAAGCACUAGAGCUGGAUGCUUGGUGCUAUUUUGUCUACUUCUGUCAAUAAUCCUGAGAUAUCCCUUGCCAUGUCCUUCCUGGGCCGCUCCUCCUCCAGCAGGCUGGCCCUCAUGCCUUUUUUUUUUUUUUUUUCUCCUCAUGACCUCUACCUCAGAUUCCAAGCUCAGGAGCCGAAGCCCUGCCUAUCUCUCUUCUGCACAGCUACAGGCUGUAGCCAUCUUUAUUCUUCCAGCAGUUUUAAAUUUAGGAGCAAGGUUUGUACAACAAAGGCUAGUGUACAUGAGAAUUCACUUGGCUCUUGGGGCGACUAGACCUUGGGAUACAGAGUUUAGUGUUACAAUACACAGCAAGAAGAGCGAGCCUCAGCAAGCCAGUUUACUCGUCUGUGCUCAGAGGGCAAUGACUUUAAUGCCUCUGUGGACGGCUUAAUCCUCCCGCACUCACUUGCUAUUGCAGUGCCGUACUAUUGCAGUUUGACUGUUGAGCAAGGCCCUGUGUUUUACUUAUUUAUUUCUUCUUCCUCCUCAUCCCAUGCUGCUCUUAACUGUUUCCUUGACUUUGACUUUGCCAGAAUGUCAUACUGGAGCCGUCUAGAGCGUAGCCUUUCCAGAGAGGCUUUCUGUUGGUGAUAAUUGAAGUUUCCUCGUGUUUUCUGUUGGCUUCACUGGUCGGUCCUUUGUGUCAUGUGUGUUGCAGUCUGUAGAAGCUCCCACGGUAUUCUCCUCUGCUCAUGCAGAUGAAAGGCCUUCAUGUUGCUGCUGGGCUUUAUCAAUGAUGAAUAAGGCUGGAAAUACUUAUAUCCAUUUUUGUGUGGAUAUAGCUUUUCAGUUUCUUUGGAAAGACACUUAGGUCACAGUUGCUGACCCUGUGAUAAAUGGAUGGUUAGUUGUGUGUUUCGGGUUCUGUCAAGAAAGGUUGUGGUCCCUCAUCCCCAUAGGCAGGGCCCGCCUUCCUUCCUUGUAUCUUCACCAGCAUUUCCUGUUGCCCACGGCUCUUCUCCAGUAUGUAGUGAUCAUUUAAUCUGCAGUUAAAUGACAAGUGCUGUUGCUUUUUGUUGUUCUGUUGUUUUUCGAGACAGGGUUUCUCUCUGUAGCCCUGGCUGUCCUAGAACUUGCUCUGUAGACCAGGCUGUCGUCAAACUCCCAGAAAUCUCCCUGCCUCUGACUUCUGGGAUUAAAGGCACGCAUCACCACUGCCUGGCGAUGUUAGUAUCUUUUAUAAACUUAUUUGCCAUACUUAUUUAGUGUUUGUUGAUGUAGCUGUUUAAAUCUUUUGUUGCCCAUUUUUGUUUGUUUUUGAGACUCAGGCUGGCCUCAGUCCCGCUCUUCCUCAGCCUCUGAGAGCUGAGAGUCUUCCACCCAUGCUUUCUUUAGGCCUUUUCUCGACUAUCCCCUCUGCCCCCUCUCUCCUUCCCUCCCCUCUUUCUCCUCUGUGUGUGGCACGAGUGGCCAUUGGAGUGCCAGGGUAACUGAGGAGGUCAGAGAACUGUGGGAGUCAGUCUCUCCUUUACCAUGGGGCUCCAGGAGUUGAAUUCAGGUUACCAAACCCAUGCCUUUAUUAGCUAAGCUAUUCUAUGCUCUCAUUUGUAAAUUAAGUUUUUUGUUCUUAUUGUUGCAUUUAAGAUGUCUUUAUGUAGUUUUGUGAAUACUAGUCUGUCAUUAAAUAAGUAAUAUGGAAAGCUUUUCUCCUGGCCUGGGGUAUGUUGUCUGUCCUUUAGUUUUUAUCAUUAUAUGUGGUGUUUGCUUUUUAGUUGUGGUAAAUGAUCCUCAGGUGCGAUGGUUAGUGUUAAUUGUAAACUUGACAGAACGUAGACUCAUUCGCCUGGGAAAUGGGCCUCUGGGCCUGCCCCUGGGGGGUUAUCUUGGUUGUGUUAAUUGACAUGAAAGAUCCAUCUUGGUGUGGGUAGGAAUAUUUCCUUGGCAAGGGGUCCUGGGCUGUGGAAGAUGGAGACAGUGAGCUGACCAGGAGGAAGCAUCCACUGGAUGCAGUGCUGACCGCUUCAAGCUCCUGCUGCCUCCACUUCCCUGCUCGGAUGGGCUGUGGCCUGAGCCACGAGCCAGAAACAACCCUUGCUCCCAUUCGUUGCUCAUAUCAGGGUGUUUUAUCACGGGGGCAGGAAAAGACACCAGGUAAGGACUCUUCUCAGCUGGGUAAGGUGACAUAGACCCUCUGGAGUUUAGGGACGGUAGUUCCGGAGUUGAAGCCCAGAGAGGGAAAGUGGGAAAGGCCUUCCCCAAUGGGCUUUGUAUCUGCUUUACUUAAACCUGACUGCGGUCGGCAAGUUCUUGAACAUUAUUUGUC
rnacentral:lncRNA from 1 species